rnacentral:rRNA from 1 species
AUUAGCCAUGCAUGUCUAAGUACACACGAAUUAAAAGUGAAACCGCAAAAGGCUCAUUAUAUCAGUUAUGGUUCCUUAGAUCGUUAACAGUUACUUGGAUAACUGUGGUAAUUCUAGAGCUAAUACAUGCAAUUAAAACAUGAACCUUAUGGGACAUGUGCUUUUAUUAGGCUAAAACCAAGCGAUCGCAAGAUCGUUAUAUUGGUUGAACUCUAGAUAACAUGCAGAUCGUAUGGUCUUGUACCGACGACAGAUCUUUCAAAUGUCUGCCCUAUCAACUUUUGAUGGUAGUAUCUAGGACUACCAUGGUUGCAACGGGUAACGGGGAAUCAGGGUUCGAUUCCGGAGAGGGAGCCUGAGAAACGGCUACCACAUCUAAGGAAGGCAGCAGGCGCGUAAAUUACCCACUCCCAGCUCGGGGAGGUAGUGACGAAAAAUAACAAUACAGGACUCAUAUCCGAGGCCCUGUAAUUGGAAUGAGUACACUUUAAAUCCUUUAACAAGGACCAAUUGGAGGGCAAGUCUGGUGCCAGCAGCCGCGGUAAUUCCAGCUCCAAUAGCGUAUAUUAAAGUUGUUGCGGUUAAAACGUUCGUAGUUGAACUUGUGCUUCAUACGGGUAGUACAACUUACAAUUGUGGUUAGUACUAUACCUUUAUGUAUGUAAGCGUAUUACCGGUGGAGUUCUUAUAUGUGAUUAAAUACUUGUAUUUUUUCAUAUGUUCCUCCUAUUUAAAAACCUGCAUUAGUGCUCUUAAACGAGUGUUAUUGUGGGCCGGUACUAUUACUUUGAACAAAUUAGAGUGCUUAAAGCAGGCUUCAAAUGCCUGAAUAUUCUGUGCAUGGGAUAAUGAAAUAAGAUCUCUGUUCUGCUUUCAUUGGUUUUCAGAUCAAGAGGUAAUGAUUAAUAGAAGCAGUUUGGGGGCAUUAGUAUUACGACGCGAGAAGGUGAAAUUCUUGGGACCGUCGUAAGACUAAACUUAAGCCGAAAGCAUUUGCCCAAAGAAUGUUUUUCAUUAAUCAAAGAAACGAAAGUUAGAAGGU